rnacentral:lncRNA from 10 species
CUAGUUCCUUCUGAGAUAGAAAGGUCAUCCCAACAGCAAUGAUUCUGGUUUAGCAGGGGGGAUAUUUGAAGCAGGUCCCUUUGGAGGAAGUGGGCCCCUCCUACAAGCCAAGCUUUCAACAGCCGGAGUUUGUGUUUUGCGACUCCAAACUGAUCACCGUUGACUGUACUAACGUUGGUUCUCCAGGACACAUUUGGAAAUGAGACAAACAGAUCCUCACUGAGUCUUCGCUGGUCUCCUGAUCUAUUUUUUUUUUUUUUUUUUUUUUGAGAUGGUCUUGCUCCAUCACCCAGGCUGGAGUGCAUUGGCACAAUCACUGCUCACUGCAGCCUCUGACUUCCCAGGCUCAAGCAAUCCUCCCACCUCAGCCUCUCGAGUAGCUGGAACUACAGGCAUGUGCCACCAUGCUUAGCUAAAUUUUUUGUAUUUUUUGUAGAGGUGGGGUCUCACUAUGUUGCCCAGGCUGGUCUCAAAUUCCUGGGCUCAAAUGAUCCUCCCACCACGGCCUCCCAAAGUGCUUGGAUGAGCCAUGAGCCACCACACCCGGCCUUGGCUGUUCUCUUGAAUGAAGGGGAUUACAAACUGGGGGUCUCAGGCUGGCCCUUUCUUGCCUUCUGGGUGGUCUGGAAGCAGGGACAGCCACUCUGCACAGAGUGCACGUCGCAGCAAGCACACUGAGGGGAUGCCUGGCUUCUUGAUGGCUUUCCUCUUCCUACUUAAAGUCCCUUCCUGAGACACAGUUGUAUUCCCGGCCUUAGAUCUCAUAUGUCCCUGAAUCUUUUAAAUAAAUUAUUCUCUUUGGCUUAAACUACUUCCAGAUCAUUGGGGUACAUGUCAUAAGAGAAUCCUAACUGAUACACUAUUAAAUUCAUUUCUUCAUGACUUGUAUGACCACUGAAGUUAAUUUGUCCUAUUGUAGUCCAGAUUCAAAGAAGAGGAAAGAAUCUCCAGACAAGUGUGGCCCACCAGCAUGAAGAGGAAAGCUCUCCAAGCCAUGAGGACCAAAAAUGAGCCCCAUCCUCCUAUGCUCCUCUAGAAAAUGUGCAACAACAAAAUAUAUAAAAUAUAGUUUGGUUGCCAAAGAGAGGUCAAAUGUUGAACUAUGACAGUGAUGGCAUUCAAAUGCAUUCAUCUUUAAUGCUGCAUCUGUCUACAAAAACGAAAACAAAGCAAGUAAAGCUCCUUGGUUAAAAAUAGUGCUUUUUAAUUGACUGGGAGGCAAGGAGUAAACUUAAAGGGAAAACAGCAUCCCACAGAUGUGCCCUUGAGGUUGACGCCAAGCCAGAAAGGGUGGUUCCCUACAAUUCAUCUGGACCCCUAGGAAGGGGCAAAAGUUCAGAAAUCCUAAGCUUUAAUAUAAGGGAGAAGGAAGAGUGGAGGGCAGGGAGUCAUUUUCUUUUUUUUCUUUUUUUUAAAAUUAUUAUUUUUUUUUGAGACACAGUCUCGCUCUGCUGCCAAGGCUGGAGCGCAGUGGCGUGAUAUCAGUGCACCACAACCUCUGCCUCCCGGGUUCAAGCAAUUCUCCUGCCUCAGCCUCCCAAGUAGCUGGGAAUGCAGGCAUGCACCACCACACCCAGCUAAUUUUUGUAUUCUUAGUAGAUAUGGG